UGAGGCUGAAUCUGGCCCCGGUGUUGGCAUCCAGCGGCAGUGGGAGAAGAUGGGCAGCGUCGGCGGUGAUGGCCUUGUGGUUCCGAGCCAGGGGCUGCCAAGAUCCUUCUGGUUUGCAGGUUUACUCCCUGCUUACGGGAGAUGUUUUCUCUCCUCCACGAAGAAGAAGCCUUACCUUUCUUUUAAUUCUCCUCUUGCUGGAAACACUGCCUUUCCUCUCCCUCUCCCCCAGCCAUAUCUGAUCUUCUCAUCUCAGAGGAACCCAGAGCCCUGCAGUGAAGCAGGAGCAGCACAGCAUUGGCCACCAAGCAAGGGACCUGUCCCAGCUUUGGGGAGGAUGUAGGGUCAGGAGAAAUGUUUCUUCCACAUGUGUGCCCAUUCAAAUUGCAGCAAGAGCUGAGGAGUGGCGAUGGCCCCUAUGGUGGUGGCAUGUACGGAUCCACUGGAAACCACUGGAGUCUCCACUGUCAUGGCAUGGGAUGUGCCAACACAUCCUGAUGCUCACACGUACGAGGGGCUGCAAAUUGUACCUUCAUCCUUCCAAAAACAAUGAUGGAACUGGUACGUCAGAGCAAAGCACCAUCUUGCUGGGUUUUGCCAAUGCUAUUUCCAAUUGCCAUUGCAGGGACAGGUAUUCUGGCAGCCCUGGCAGGAUUUGGCACGUGUGAACCUCAUGAAGUUCAAUGAGGUCAAGUGCAAGGUCCUGCGCCUGGGUUGGGUCAAUCCCCAGUAUCAGUACAGGCUGGGGGAUGGAGGGAUUGAGAGCAGCCCUGGGGAGAAAGACUCGAGGAUACUGGUGGGUGAGAAAUGGGACAUGACCUGGCAAUGUUUGCUCGCAGCCCUGAAAGCAACUGUCUCCUGGGCUAGAUCCAAAGCAGCGUGGCCAGCAGGUUGAGGGAGGGGAUUCUGCUCCUCUACUCUGCUAUGGUGAAAACACCCCCUGGAGCACUGCAUCCAGCUCUGGGGUCUUCAGCACAAGACAGACAUGGACCUGUUGGAACAGGUCCGGAAGAGGGACGCAGAAAUGGUCCGAGGGCUGGAAUCCCUCUGCUGUGGAGAAAGGCUGAGAGAGCUGGGGUAGUUCAGCCUGAAGAAGAGAAGGCUCUGGGGAGACCUCAUAGUGGAUUUUCAAUAUAUAAAGGGGGUUCAUAAGAGAGAUGAAGAGAGACUUUUAACCAUGGCCUGAAGAUUUAAGACAAGGGGCAAUCAUUUUAAAUGAGAGAGGGUAGUUUAAAUAAGACAUAAGGAAGAAAUUAUUUAUGAUGAGGGUGGUAAAACACCAGACCAGGAUGCCCAGAGAAGUUGUGGAUGCUCCAUCACAGGAAGAGUUCAGUAUCAGGCUAGAUGGCACUUUAAGCAACCUGAUCCAUUGGGAGAUGUCCCUGUUCAGGGCAAGAGGGUUGGACUAGAUGACCUUCAAAGCUACCUCCCAACAAAAAACAUUUCAUGAUUCUGUGAUUCUGUUACCUCAUUGGGGCUGGAUGCCCAGGGAGCAGCUUUGCACCACCUGGUAGUGACUCAGGACUGGGGUAUUUAGGCUUUUACCCCCAUGAGGGCUAGUCCCACACUAAGGGCCUUGGCUGAUUGGAGAGCGGGGAGAGAUCUCCAUCUUUGCUCUGGCUGAGUGCAAAACUUCCCUUUCCCAAAGAAUUAGGGGACAAUAUGGGGUGAAAGAGAUCCUGAAGAUUUGGGUUUUUUUCUUUCUUUAUCCAUGAAUUAACUUAUUUUUUCCCCCUUCUCUGGAGCAGAAUAAACUUUUGUUUAAGGCAAUAAGCUGCAGAGAUACUGGCUUCUUGUGUUUAUGUUUUUCAUUUCUAGGCAAAUCCCAUUUUGGAGCCCCCUGAACGCAAGUCUGGGAACUGAACAUCCUGACCGCAGCGAGCCGUGGUGGAUUGAGGAUCAGAAUAGAAUAUUGUUUUUACACAGGGGAUUUAACAGCCUGGGUUUGGCUUCUGAUGUCCAUCCAAAGCACGCGGGCGGAGAAGGAAUGCUCUGUUUUCAGUCUGCAAUGGAGUCACUGUUUUAAUUUUAGCUUCUCUGGAGCAAAGCUGUAAGCCAGCCGUUACCAAAGCAAAGCACCCUAUGGAGGCUGGAAGGGGUAGAGGAACAGGAGGCAUCAAGCAAGCUUAAUUGCCUCUGUGGCUUUCCAUGGUUGACAGUUACUGCUGGAUGUCAGCAUUAGCCUCUGCUUUGCUCACAGCUCACCAAUGUCCCGGUGACUUGGUGCUGUCUGCAGAGCUCCCAAGCCCCCAGUGGGAGAGCAGUCAGGUCAAAACAAACCCAGAAAGGUCUCAGAAUUUCACCACCUUCUUCCUGAGCAUCCUUUAGUCUCUGCCAGGGUUUGCAAAGUAAUAGCCAAUGCCACUUUUCCUUCAAUAGCUGCUGUGAGAUCCAGCAAAUGCCACUGCUCAGUCACUAACUCACAACUCGGUAUUUGUUGAGAACAGUUUGCUUCCCCCUUCUUUGGUGGUAUUGUGAAAUUCCUGAAACCUCGUUGUGCCAAGAGGAUGUGCAAAUGUUUUUAGCAAUGAACCCCUGAGUGGCAGGUCGUGCAACAUGGGAAUGUCGCAAUGGCAGCUAGUGUUGUAACCGCACUAGACCAGGAUAAGCA